UUUCUUUUCUUCUUCUCUCUAUACGUUGGUGUUCUAACCAAUAAUCACUGAUGUGAUAUUCUGUCCGAUCGAUUCGGGAACCAAUUAACGAAUGCCAAAGUGCUGUCUAAAUAAGACUAUACUUUGUGAAUUUCGUUAAGGUUCUGAUCUCGUGACCAUCGUUAGGUUUGAUGUGGUUUUACACUAAUAUGUAUUCCACUCUGUUAAGCUAAAUGUUUAACUAUCAGAAAACUCCGGUCCAUAAACCUACUAUCAAACAAGAUGUAUAAUCAUCAGAAGACUUAGAAUCAAGCUGCUUGUUUAAUCAAGACUAUAUGCUAACAAGGUGAUUACAGUAGAUUGGAAUAAGAGUGAUGAUACGGCACCGAAAGGCUUAAAGAAGUGGCUUAUUUUAUCAAUUAAAUUAAAUUAAGAAAACAUUAUUUCAUAUAUUCGGGUUUAUCCCAUAUUAAAGCUACCUUUGUAAAACAUGGGUUUAUUCUCAUAUGUUUAAUAAAUAAAAUCCGGUGUUUCUAAACUCUGGUAUUUUCCUAACUCACAGUCCUGAUGAAAUUUUCCGCUGCAAUAUUUUCAAAAUAACCACCGGUACCACUUGACUGCUCGCGGCUCCCGUCCAGGGCAUGGUCGGGGGCCGUGACAAUAUUUGAUGGUAAAAAGGAUAAAAUGGUAAUCCGGUCACGUGUUGACAAAUAAAUAUAGUUUCGAAAAAAACACCCUAUGGUGUAAGCCACAAAGGGUCGAAAGAAUUAAGAAACGACUUUAAGUAGUAUGAUCAUAUGGUGUAAAUCAAAACGGACUAAAUGGUGAGAUGGUAAAUAAAUAACAUCUCAUAAUGGUAAAAUGGUCAUUUAGGCCAAACGGGUCAAAUGGUGAUGUUAUCAUCAUUUGCCAAUAAUGACUAAUGGUCGCUUGUCGAGUUUUGUGCCCAUAGGAAGGAUAGCGUAUGACUUGCAUUGCUAUUAAUUAGCAAUUAAUAGUGCAAGGUAUUAAAAACAGGUCAAUGCUAAGACCCGAGCUAGGUAUGUGUUAUGGGUCAAACACUCAAUGAGGACUUAAGGUCCGACGAGAGUUAAUCGAGUCACGGGCGGGCUUUGGAUUACCUAUAGUGAGGUAUAUCAAAUAAUUUGAAAAUUUGGAACAUCAUGUUCUUAGGAAUUCAACAAUUUAAAUAUAUCAACGGUUAAGGUGUUUAUUUGGUCAAAAUAUGCGUCUAAAAGUCCUUCGUGGUAAAAAGUACUAAGUUGACCAAAAUGCCCUCGAAUGAUAAACCGGGAAAAACAACCCUUAAGGGUAGUUUAAUAUAAAUUCUAUAAUUCAGUCGAUCCUUAUGAUAAUAUAAAAUGGAAGGUUUACACCAUUUCGGCAUAAUGCUACAUAAUGGGUCAAUUUCGUAAAGUUGUCAUACUUGUGGAUAUCAUAGGAGUAUAAUGAUAUUCUAUCACGAUCCAUCAAAUUGAAGAUGUGUUGAUAAAUAAAUAAAGAUAAUAUAGUGAAAACGCAGAUUUUAAAUGGACAUUAAGAUAUGGGUCAAUUAAGUCUUUGUUUGAUUUGAAUAAUCAAACGGGUCAAAAUAAAUGCGAAGACGCAUACUGGAUAACAGAUGGGUAAAACUCAUGGAUAGUAGCCUAAGAAUGGGGAAUAUUCAUAGAUUUGAUAUUCGUAUGAAUAAGAUGUAAUUAAGUGAGUUUGUUGUUAAAAAAACACAAACGGGUCAAUUUAUUUCGUAAAUAAAUAUUAAGCCGAAAGCUUAUAAUUCGAGAAUUUUAUUAAUCCGGAUGACGGAUUUUAAGUCUAAUUGGUAGAUGAUUAAAUUACAAUCACAUAGAAACAAAAAAGAGGUCAAACGGAUAAGCGGUUUAAAAGUUAUGGUCGUUUUUGUACGAAAGGGAAAAAUAGAGAAAACAAACCAGCAGAGGCAAACCGUAACCUACGGUCGAGGACCGUAGGCUACGGUGGAAACAAAAAGGGUCAGCAGUUAUGGACCGUAACCUAGGUGGUGGACCGUAGGUUAUGGUGAAGGCCUCCUGUUCGAAUUUUAAUAAGGGAACCGUAAGCUACGGUUACUCACCAUAGCUUACGGCGGGUAAUUCAAAAUUUUGUUUUCUUGUUUCUUGAGUGUUACACAUUAUUAAACCUCAAAUCAACAAUCUAUAUCUAACAUAUUUAGGUCAAUGUUAUGUUGAAGACGGAUGGGAUCAAGCUCGUACAAGAACCGAACACAUAUAAAGUUGAAGCUUCCGCUUUUUGGUUUUAGAUGUUUUCUAUGAACCGAACUAUGCUAUCAUUUUGUAAAUGUUUUAAACACUUAUGGUUUUAAAUAACCUGUAAGAUUGUUUGAAUAAUAUUAUAUAAAUCGUAU
rnacentral:lncRNA from 1 species